CCUACGGGAGGCUGCAGUGGGGAAUCUUGGACAAUGGGGGCAACCCUGAUCCAGCCAUGCCGCGUGAGCGAUGAAGGCCUUAGGGUUGUAAAGCUCUUUCAGCGGGGAAGAUAAUGACGGUACCCGCAGAAGAAGCCCCGGCUAACUCCGUGCCAGCAGCCGCGGUAAUACGGAGGGGGCUAGCGUUGUUCGGAAUUACUGGGCGUAAAGCGCACGUAGGCGGAUGCUCAAGUCGGGGGUGAAAUCCCGGGGCUCAACCCCGGAACUGCCUUCGAUACUGGGUGUCUGGAGGAUGGGAGAGGCGAGUGGAAUUCCGAGUGUAGAGGUGAAAUUCGUAGAUAUUCGGAGGAACACCAGUGGCGAAGGCGGCUCGCUGGCCCAUUUCUGACGCUGAGGUGCGAAAGCGUGGGGAGCAAACAGGAUUAGAUACCCCUGUAGUC
rnacentral:rRNA from 1 species